GAAAUUUUUAGACUUCCUGGAAAUAGUUAUGAUUUAAAACCGUACUGUAAACCGACACAGGUAGAUGGGCUGAGUAUGCUCAGGUGUGUGAGAGAAUGAUGUUGAAGGAACUCGGCAAAUUAAUCCAGUAACUUCGGGAGAAUGGAAGGCAAAAGAAAUUUUGCUAGCAUAAAAUUGGGGAUGGCGACUGUUUAAUAAAAACACAAGUCUUUGCUAACUCGAAAGAGGACGUAUAAGGGCUGACACCUGCCCGGUGUUAGUAAGUGAAGUUUAAACAUUUUUGUGUUUAAUAUAAGCUCUAAUAAACGGCGGUUCUAACAUUGAGAAUCCUAAGGUAGCGAAAUUCCUUGCCAGCUAAUUACUGGCCUGCAUGAAUGGUGUAACGACUUUCCCACUGUCUCCAACAUCAACUUACGGAAGUUUACAUACGCGUGAAGAGGCGCGUUAUCUGCAAUAGGACGGAAAGACCCCGUGAACCUUUACUUUUCUCUAACAUUGAAGAAAUAUUAUUAAUGUACAGAAUAGGUGGGAGUUGUAUAAGGUUUUUAUGCCAAUAAUCUACUUAAACAUCUGUGAGAUACCACCCUUCAAUAAUAUUUCUAUACUAACUUUUAAAGGACAUUGUUAGUUUGUAAGUUUGACUGGGGCGGUCGCCUCCUAAAGAGUAACGGAGGUUUUCUUUAAGG
rnacentral:rRNA from 12 species